rnacentral:rRNA from 1 species
AUGGCCUCUGUAGUACUUGUUCAAGUAAAGGUCCAACAAGUCCUUGUCCACGAACGCCGCCACGGCCAUGGAUAUUUGGCUGUGGCGCGGCUGGUACAGCGGCAUCGGCAUGGAUCCAUUCACCGUCGCCGGCACCGAGUUGUUCUUCAAGCGCUUACUGGGAAGCUGCAGGCUCACGAUGACGUCCCUAUAGUCCACCCCUGCGCGGCGGCUGGGGUUGUCGACGGCGAGGGUGAAGUUGAAGGACAGCCCGUCGUUGCCGUCCAUGGUGCUGUCUGUCCCGUUUGCCGCGGUGAUGGAGAAGUGGAUGUGCGCGGGGCUGAGGAUGAUGCAGGUGACUAUGAUAACAGUGCUGGCGGCGAGGAUUAG